rnacentral:rRNA from 1 species
GCAGCGGGGGUGAUGGCUUGCCAUCACCUGCCGGCGACCGGCGCACGGGUGAGUAACACGUAUGCAACCUGCCCGCCACAGGGGGAUAAGCGGAAGAAAUUCCGUCUAAUACCGCGUGACGCGGCACCGGGGCAUCCCGGUGCCGCCAAAGGGAUUACCGGUGGCGGAUGGGCAUGCGGCGCAUUAGCUAGUCGGCGGGGUAACGGCCCACCGAGGCGACGAUGCGUAGGGGUUCUGAGAGGAAGGUCCCCCACACUGGUACUGAGACACGGACCAGACUCCUACGGGAGGCAGCAGUGAGGAAUAUUGGUCAAUGGGCGCGAGCCUGAACCAGCCAAGUCGCGUGAGGGAUGACGGUCCUACGGAUUGUAAACCUCUUUUGCCGGGGAGCAAGCGUGCGUUCGUGAACGCGCGUCGAGAGUACCCGGAGAAAAAGCAUCGGCUAGCUCCGUGCCAGCAGCCGCGGUAAUACGGAGGAUGCGAGCGUUAUCCGGAUUUAUUGGGUUUAAAGGGUGCGUAGGCGGGAUGCCAAGUCAGCGGUAAAAAAGCGGUGCUCAACGCCGUCGAGCCGUUGAAACUGGCGUUCUUGAGUGGGCGAGAAGUAUGCGGAAUGCGUGGUGUAGCGGUGAAAUGCAUAGAUAUCACGCAGAACUCCGAUUGCGAAGGCAGCAUACCGGCGCCCUACUGACGCUGAGGCACGAAAGCGUGGGUAUCGAACAGGAUUAGAUACCCUGGUAGUCCACGCAGUAAACGAUGAAUGCUAACUGUCCGGUGCGAGUGAGCGCUGGGCGGUACAGCGAAAGCGUUAAGCAUUCCACCUGGGGAGUACGCCGGCAACGGUGAAACUCAAAGGAAUUGACGGGGGCCCGCACAAGC